GUCAAAGACUUCUGGGUCCAGCCACAAAAGGCAUCUGAGCAGCUUUGAACCUCAGAAUGGUUCACCCACUGAGAUGCCUCUAACAGAGCAGAGACAACCAAGUCCUCAGGCUGGGCACUGCCAGACUACUUCAUUGUCUUCUCCUCCCAUGAGAAAGUCUUAACCUGGUCCAUCACAUGCUGUAGAAUACUGCAUCCCCUCACCAGUGGUUGACCAGGAGACAGACGACUACAGGCCAAAAUCUCCUUGGUCCAGUCUUAAAAGGCAUCUGACCAGCUCUGAACCUUAGUACGGUUCACCACUCAGAUGUCUCGAGGGGUGGCGGCAACAAGUGAUUAUGCCCAAUGGACACUACAGCCAAGAAGCAAGUUCUCAGCCUGGGCACUGCCUGCCCACCUUCAAACAGCAGGCAAAUGAGCAUCAUCAUCCAAUGAUGCCUCAACAGCCAAUGAUGGGCCAGCACCACUAGGGUCGCUGUGCAAACUGUAAUGCUCCCAGGCUUAACACUGACUGUGCCACGGAGUCAACAUCAAGGCACUACUCCUGUGGUCGUGUAAAAGAGGACAUGUUACGACCCUGUGGCAUUGAGUAGGUACUGCUACUGCAAACAUCUUCAGCAUUUUUAAUCAAAGUUGUGGAGACUUGGUGGAAGCGACGUAUGUAGACGAGCCCCUUUCUCACGACAGUCCCUCUGCUAGGCGAGCCCCCACAUCAGCACAAGUUCCAGAGGCGUUCCAAACCCCCAAAAGCCAAAACGAGUCAUCAACCCAGACACGUUUGAGAUACCCACAGGUUUCACCACGUUCAGGGACCAGAAAUGGUUUAAAUUUCGAGAAGAGCUGGGAAUCAAAGAUACACAAGUGACUGCUUAUGCUCUGCAGGAACAUGUAAAAUUUCACCUUCAUACAUCCAAGUUACGACUGACCAUCUUCUGAAGAUUUUGGAGGAAUGUGCCGGAUAGUAAUGUAUUUUAUUUGUCUACAGCACGAAAUGGAAAAACUUGGGGAUUGAGGAGGAAAAGAUUUGGAAAAAGAAGACACAGGAGAAGAAGAAGAUGCAGGAGAAAAACAAAACGCUCAUGUCGCUGCUCUCAUGUUGAUCAGAUCGUCAGAGGAGGACAUCGAUGAUUUUAUUGAAGUGGAGUAGAUCAACACAUUUUGGCCCCUAUCCAGAGGCCAUUUUCAAUAAAGUGUAUGCAAGGAUGAAUUUUGGUUAUAAUUUAGUAUCUUUGCUAUUUAAACUUGUGUUAUUUACUGUGUAUUACAAAUAUUGAGAUGAACUUGUUUCCAGAGUAAAAUAACAAGAGUAAUUGUUUCCACUGCACCCAGUUCCUUCAGUUACAGACUGCAACUAUUUAUAUACUUGGGACAAGAGGCCCCUGUAAACAAUCUUUUCUGCAAACUCAAGCAAUCUUUCUGUGGCAUAUAUUAAAAGUAUAUUCAUUUA